rnacentral:rRNA from 1 species
UACGGGGGGAGCAAGCGUUGUUCGGAUUUACUGGGCGUAAAGGGCGCGUAGGCGGUCAGCACAAGUCAGUUGUGAAAUCUCCGGGCUUAACUCGGAAAGGUCAACUGAUACUGUGCGACUAGAGUGCAGAAGGGGCAACUGGAAUUCCCAGUGUAGCGGUGAAAUGCGUAGAUAUUGGGAGGAACACCAGUGGCGAAGGCGGCUCACUGGACCGGAACUGACGCUGAGGCGCGAAAGCGUGGGUAGCAAACAGG